GGUGCCGUAGCCUAGUGGUCAAGGCGAUAGAAUAGAAAUCUUUUGGGAUACUCCCGCGCAGGUUCGAAUCCUGCCGACGACG
rnacentral:tRNA from 1 species